UACGUAGGUGGCAAGCGUUGUCCGGAAUUAUUGGGCGUAAAGAGCGUGUAGGCGGCCAGGUAGGUCUGCUGUGAAAACUCGAGGCUUAACCUCGAGCUGUCGGCGGAAACCAUCUGGCUAGAGUCCGGAAGAGGAGAAUGGAAUUCCCGGUGUAGCGGUGAAAUGCGCAGAUAUCGGGAAGAACACCCGUGGCGAAGGCGGUUCUCUGGGACGGUACUGACGCUGAGACGCGAAAGCGUGGGGAGCGAACAGG
rnacentral:rRNA from 1 species